AUGACCUCCAAAAGGUCCUCCUUUCCAAAGCCCUGCUCAAACCCUGCAAACUCCGGGCCUUGGUUUCAUUCACUGAAUCAAUCCACCUCGUGUCACGUCUUCCUCUUUUCCCACUGCCUUCAACUUUGCUCAGGGACGAGUGUCCUUCCCGGCCAGCCUCGCCUAUUCAUCAUCCUUCGUCUCAGAGCCCUUUUGGGCCAUGCGCCCUUCUUGGAAAUACUACGCCCUUGGCAACUGGAUUGCAGCGCUUGGCUGGACGCUUCCUCCACCUUCCUCCCCUCCCGCUUCCCGCGCCCCCUCGCCUUCUCCCACCGGGGCGCAAAGCGGUGCCUCUCCGCUUUCCCUUCUCCCUGCCUGCCUGCCUCCGUCCGUCCACCCCCUUCCGACUCCGUUGCUGCAUCGUCCUCCCCGCCUCCUUGCGAGGGAGGGCGGCGGUGCGUCUUGGGUGCGCGCCGGCUUCGUCCCUGGUCGCGCAACCGCCGACGGGCCGGACGUUUUUGCGCCUUGAAACCGGAGCCGCCGCCUCGUCUUCCAACCUUCUCACCAAUUUUGUUCCCCCCCCUCUUGGUUUGGGCUUUUGCUUGGUGUAAAGAAAGGAGGUGGAAUUUAAACCGUCGGCGGCGGAGUGUGUGUGUUUGUGUGCCGGUGUGUGUGUGCGCGCACGCGCGCGCUGGGGUAGGAUUUGUCCGUUUGGAGCGCCUUUUCUCCCGCUCUCCCGACCCUGCCUGGUGCCGCUGCCGCCGCCGACGAGGAGGAGGAGGAGGAGGAAGAGGUGAAACAGAAACAUGGCGAAAGCCGAGCAGGUCCUGUCUCUGGAACCGCAACACGAGCUCAAAUUCAAAGUUCUUUCUGAAGUUGAUCCCAUUGGCAUAAAUCAGACAAUUCCUACAAGAAGACCAAAUACAAGAUGGAUUGAAAUGAAGCCACAGCCUUGAGUUUACAAGAGUUUAGCAGGGAUGUUGAUGACUGGACAUUUUGGAGGUCACUCAUUCAUAGGGUCUUCAUAAUUUGGAGGUAAAAUGAUGGCAUGUAACAAUAAAAUCUCCACCAUAGUUCCUGUCUAAUCCUUU
rnacentral:lncRNA from 1 species